CAAGGAAUUUUCCGCAAUGGGCGCAAGCCUGACGGAGCAACGCCGCGUGCGGGAUGACGCCCUUCGGGGUGUAAACCGCUUUUCGGGGGGACGAAGGCAGUGACGGUACCCCCGGAAGAAGGCCCGGCUAACUACGUGCCAGCAGCCGCGGUAAGACGUAGGGGCCGAGCGUUGUCCGGAGUUACUGGGCGUAAAGGGCGCGCAGGCGGCCGGUCGCAUCGGCGGUGAAAGCCCCCCGCUCAACGGGGGAGGGUCCGUCGAGAUGGAUCGGCUGGAGGCAGGGAGAGGGCGGUGGAAUUCCGGGUGUAGUGGUGAAAUGCGUAGAGAUCCGGAGGAACACCAGUGGCGAAGGCGGCCGCCUGGACCUGACCUGACGCUGAGGCGCGAAGGCGUGGGGAGCGAACGG
rnacentral:rRNA from 1 species